GUGCGGUCUCACCAACUGACUCACCACCUCACCUAACAGUUAUUGGUUAUGGGUCAACCGAUGAGUGGACAACUCUUAUCCAAUGAUUCUCUAAUCAUGGUGCACCCAAAAUUUGGUCUCUAAUUCAUGAAGCUCACCGUGCUUGGGAUAUUGCUCCAAUCCUUAGUUAAGUCAGACCCACCAUUUGCACGAACUAGAUUCCUGAUUGGGUCCCUCACC
rnacentral:lncRNA from 1 species